CGCCUCUUGUUAAUUUUAAGAGGUACAGCCUGCCCAGUGACUCUGUUUAACGGCCGCGGUAUCCUAACCGUGCGAAGGUAGCGUAAUCACUUGUUCUUUAAAUGAGGACUAGUAUGAAUGGCAUCACGAGGGUUAUACUGUCUCCUUUCCUCAAUCAGUGAAACUUAUCUCCCCGUGAAGAAGCGGGGAUAAAUAUAUAAGACGAGAAGACCCUAUGGAGCUUUAAACUAAACUACACUUGUCGAAUACAUAAAAAUUUCAGAAUAAUAUUAUUUAUCAUAACAUUAUGCUAGCAAGUUUUAGGUUGGGGUGACCGCGGAGUAAAAAUUAUCCUCCGCAUUGAAAAAGACUUUCUUUAGCUAAAAACUACGAUUUUAAGCAUCAACAUAUUGACAUUAUUGACCCAAUAUUUUGAUCAACGAACCAAGUUACCCUAGGGAUAACAGCGCAAUCCACUUCAAGAGCUCAUAUCGACAAGUGGGUUUACGACCUCGAUGUUGGAUCAGGGUGUCCCAGUGGUGCAGCCGCUACUAAAGGUUCGUUUGUUCAWCGAUUAAAACCCU
rnacentral:rRNA from 1 species